UACGUAGGGUGCAAGCGUUGUCCGGAAUUAUUGGGCGUAAAGAGCUCGUAGGCGGUUUGUCGCGUCGGCUGUGAAAACCCGGGGCUCAACCCCGGGCCUGCAGUCGAUACGGGCAAACUAGAGUGCGGUAGGGGAGACUGGAAUUCCUGGUGUAGCGGUGAAAUGCGCAGAUAUCAGGAGGAACACCGGUGGCGAAGGCGGGUCUCUGGGCCGUUACUGACGCUGAGGAGCGAAAGCGUGGGGAGCGAACAGG
rnacentral:rRNA from 1 species